GACGAACGCUGGCGGCGUGCUUAACACAUGCAAGUCACGGGGGCCGCAAGGGCAACCGGCGAACGGGUGCGUAACACGUGAGCAACCUGCCGAUCUGAGGGGGAGUAGCCGGCCCAACGGCCGGGUAAUACCGCAUACGUUCUCGAGGGGGAGUCCUCUUGGGAAGGAACCUCCGGGGCAGAUCGAGGGGCUCGCGGCCUAUCAGCUAGUUGGCGGUGUAAUGGACCACCAAGGCGACGACGGGUAGCUGGUCUGAGAGGAUGGCCAGCCACAUUGGGACUGAGAGACGGCCCAGACUCCUACGGGAGGCAGCAGUGGGGAAUCUUGCGCAAUGGCCGAAAGGCUGACGCAGCGACGCCGCGUGUGGGAUGAAGCAUUUCGGUGUGUAAACCACUGUUGCCCGGGACGAACAUCCUCUUUCGA
rnacentral:rRNA from 1 species